rnacentral:rRNA from 1 species
CAGUCGCCGCGGUAAUACGUAGGUGGCAAGCGUUGUCCGGAUUUAUUGGGCGUAAAGCGAGCGCAGGCGGUCAAUUAAGUCUGAUGUGAAAGCCCCCGGCUCAACCGGGGAGGGUCAUUGGAAACUGGUUGACUUGAGUGCAGAAGAGGAGAGUGGAAUUCCAUGUGUAGCGGUGAAAUGCGUAUAUAUAUGGAGGAACACCAGUGGCGAAGGCGACUCUCUGGUCUGUAACUGACACUGAGGCGCGAAAGCGUGGGGAGCAAACAGGAUUAGAUACCCCAGUAGUCCCUGUCUCUUAUAC